rnacentral:lncRNA from 1 species
UUUGCUAAUGCCCCUGAUUUAUUAUAGAGGCUGAGAGAAACAGCUUUGCACAGCAGGAUAAGCAUGCUUUUGACUUGGUUCCAGGUAUGACAAUAGCUGAGAGUCAUCAAAAGUGGGAAGAAAAUACCUGCCAACAGUUCUGUCUGACUUGGAUGGUCCUGAUUUUCUUCUUGCUCCGUCAAACCCUGCUCGCUCAGUCCUUUCUGAUGGAAUCGAGGACACAAUGUCCUUCCGAGAGCAGCUUUUGUUUCUAUCAGCAUUUAAAUGUGCUUUCUUUGUAGGAUAUGCAGAGCCUUGGAAAGAGAAAUGUCUCCUCUGCCUUCCUGAGCUUCUCCAAGAGGGAAUGCUGGGUCCUGAGCAUGGACAGCGUAUGGGAUGGAAAAGGGGCUGGACCUCCGAGUUUCACAGAGUGCCAGCAGACAGCAGCAAUAUUAACCAGAGACAAUAUUCAGAGACAAUAUUCAGAGACAAUAUUCAGAGACAAUAUUCAGAGACAAUAUUCAGGAAAGGUGUUUUUGAGGGAAAAGGUUUGCCAUUGGAAGUUUCUGAAGAAAUAUUGUCUCCUUCUCCCAACUGUGGCAAUUGGAAUGAGCAGAGCCAUCCUUUUGUUCCCUCCUCCCUGAAAAGGACAGGGGGAGGCCAGGACACCACCUUUAUCUGAAGGCUUAUAUUGAAUCUCUGAACAAGCAGUCCAUGAUUUUGAAGGAGAGGAUGAGAGCUUUUUCCCUUACUUGAGGAAUCUGCUCUUGAACUGAAGACCCCAGCUUUUAAAAGCCUGGAGUGGUGAUGUCUGUCUUUCAGAAAUCUAUGCAGGUGUGUAGCUCAUUACUUUUGUACCCAAAGGCAUUUCUCCAUGUGUUUCUUCACUAAGACUCAAAAAAUUCCACACUGGAAUGCAAUAAUAUUGCUUAAGGAAACUGGAGAUAGCUUGCCUUGAAAUCCUGUCCCCUCAUUGCUAGAAGUGCCUGGAGGUGUGUGCACUACCUGUCCUUAGAGUCAUAAUCUUUAUAACCAUAAACUAUAGGGAGUUAUAAGUGGCUAUAAACAACUUGGAUACACUAAAAACUGCGGAGGUGGAAAGGAUUUAAAGUUUCAGGAGGGUUUGGGCAGGAGGAGGAGUCCAUGCUUAGGGCCAUGUCCACACUGGUACACACAGAUGUGCUGGAGGGGAAGAGUGAGCUGGAGGAGAAUUCCCAGCUGGAGCCUCAGGGUGCUGCUGCUGCCCAGGCUGCUGUCCAGCCACAGCAGGCUCCAACUCUUUUGCUGCUCUUUGAAGGUUUCUGUCAGUUUUGGAGGGAAUUUUUCAAGGCAGUGCAGGUUGAGAGGGUGGCUGGUUUUCAUUGAUAAGGAGAAGAGUGGUGUGUUUGCUCACCAGCUGCUGGCAGCUCUGUCUCAGGGCAAAGAGGGAGGGGGACAAGACACGUGAGUUUGGGUGAUCAAUCCCUUUGCAGACUACCCUGCCUUGGCCAGCAGCUUCUGUACCUUUAUAGCAUGUGCACAGUGUGUGAAGGGGUGGGGAAUUGGGGAUUUUUUUUCCCUCCUCAGAAAAAUCCACCAGUCCCAAGCUCCUUUCCCCUCCAAAAAAAUGCUUGUGCUCCACUCACCUGCCCUGC